GCGAAUGGCUCAUUACAACAGCUAUAAUUUACUUGUUCUAUUCCUUUAAACGGAUAACUGCGGUAAUUCUGGAGCCAAUACGUGCCAAAAGACGCAUUCAGUAAUGAGUGUGUUGCAUUUAUCGGAGCAAAACCUUUCCUGGUUUUAUGCUAACUCUGGAUAACACUGCUUAUCGCAUGACCUUGUGUCGGCGAAGUUACAUUCAAGUAUCUGCCUUAUCAACUUUCGAUGGUAGUGUAUUGGACUGCCAUGGUGUUGACGGGUAACGGAGAAUCAGGGUUCGACUCCGGAGAGGGAGCCUUAGGAACGGCUACCAUGUCUAAGGACAGCAGCAGGCGCGCAACUUAUCCACUGUUCAUUGAACGAGAUAGUGACGAGAAAUAACAAGUUCGUUCUCUAUGAGGUCGAGCAUUGGAAUGGAUGGAAUCUAAACAGUUCCAUGAGUACCCACGAGAGGGCAAGUCUGGUGCCAGCAGCCGCGGUAAUUCCAGCU
rnacentral:rRNA from 1 species